UCUAAAUAUAAGAAGUAUAAGAAACAAAUUUGAUAGCUUUAAAUAUUUAACUGAAUCACUAAUCAAGAAUGUAAACAUAAUAGGUCUUACUGAAACAUGGCUUAGCAAUAAUGACUGUAAACAAUAUUAUAAAUUAGGAGGAUAUGACUAUAUAGGAUUAAAUAGGGAGACUAAAAAAGGAGGGGGAGUUGGUAUAUAUAUUAAAGAGCAUAUAAACCGCAAAAAACGUGAGGACCUAACCACAAAUAUUGAAGAUAUCAUUGAAAGUGUUUGCAUUGAAAUAUGCACAACCGUAGGGAAAAAUAUUAUCAUUGCAGUAAUUUAUAGACCACCAAAUAACAAAAUUGAAAUAUUUGAAAAUGCAAUGAAUGAUUUAUUGAAUAAAAUUGAUCGAGAAAACAAAAUCUGUUAUCUUAUGGGAGAUUUCAAUAUAGACUUACUUCAGUCAGAAACCUGUGAUAUUGCUAAUAGGUUUAGUGAGCAACUUUUUACCUCCUCUUUUUACCCAAUUAUAACCAAACCAACCAGAAUCACUGAACAUACUGCUACUCUAAUUGAUAAUAUUUUCACUAAUAAUAUAGAUAAAAUAGACUCAAGUGUAAAUGGAAUUAUUUUCUAUGAUAUCUCAGAUCAUCUACCCAUAUUGCAUGUGUGUGACCUCAAUGCAAUCCAUUUAAAUAAACGUAACAAAGAAAUAAUAGACAUUAGAGAAUUCAAUAAUGCAAAUAUAAAUGUUUUCAAGCAAGCUAUUAAUGAAAUAUCUUGGCCAAGUAUUUUUUCUGAUAACUCAAAUCCACAACUAAGUUUUUCCGAA